ACAUUAGCUCGUCGACAUUGUCGUUGUUAAACGUGACGAGUUGCAAAUCGGAAAAAAUCUUUACUAAUAUUCUUAAUAACGUAGUUAUUUGUGUUUGCUUAGCUUUUCCAAUAACAGUAAUUUAUAAUACACGCUAAAUUUUAUUUCACCGUAGUGAUAAAAGUACUUUACGAAUAAUUUAGAUCUGUAAAUAUAAAUGGACACAUUUUAAAUCUUCUAAAGAGCUGGUGAUGGUCACGAAUUUUGAAAAAAAAUAUUUUCAACGCCAUCUAUGGAGUUCUGAGUGAAAUCAAUUCUGACGUCCAGGAGGUUGAAGAGCCUCAAGAGCUGGUCGUCCCAUCAUCGAGCAGACUACUUGUUUCUUGGGCGUCAAUAAAUUUUAUGAAAAUUUCAAAUGAUAUAGGAUACAAGCUUUGAAUUAUUUGCUUUGUACACAACAGGAGCAUAGUACCAGUGGAAAGAUUGAAGAACAGAAAGAAUGCGGCCACUCAUCGUUGCCAUGAUUUUGUAUUGCUAGUGUAUCUAACAAUAAGAUUCGUUGCCCACGGAGACGUGGUGUUUAUUAUUAAGUAUUAAAAAAGAUAUUCUAAAAGUAAUAUUAAAGAAUGUUCAGUGUGUCACUAUUUUUCCUGCGUUUCGUAAUCUGUACAUGUAAAAUUUGAGAGAAUGUUAAAUUUACUACUCAACUUUAAAAGGUCAAUAUGGUCGCUUAAGUUGUUAUGUUUAUUGCAAAAUAAUUAAAGUUUUUUCAUUUCUUUAUAUAUUAUUGUAAAUUUGAUUUCAGCGAAAGGAAUGAAUUUUAUUAUGUUUCAUUAACUUUAUAUUAAGGCGUGUCUGUUGUAAAGUUGUCCCUGAUUCCCCUACGCGGUGUUGCGACCUCACUGCACUUGUUGAGCCAGGUGUUGACUACGGGGCGAGAUCAGCCGCAGCAGUCUCGAUGGGUGAAUUCUACGGAAAACGCUAAGCCUAGCAAUAUUCUUCGGUUGGGACCUAGCGAAAUCGUGGACGGCUCCCAGCUCUAGCCUACGUCUGAAAAGCUAGUCCAGCCUGCAGGAACAAAGGUCGUGAUGCGAAGAUAAAAGUUCGGUCCUUUCGAUGGUGCUUCACGGGUGUUACAAGAAACACUCCUGCCUUAUAAAAAUACUUUUAAGACCGUUAGGUAUGAGAUGCGGCCGGCGUCUUGUGUGUAGACUUGGAAAUAAUGCCGGAAGACUGGCUCAGGAUGCUCAAUGUGACAAGGUGACAGUGCGAAAAUUGCUUAGGAUAGUAGGUGAUAUGAAAGUAUACUUAUUUAUUUAUUUAUUUAUUUUUCCUCGAAUUUUUCUCCUUUAAAGCUCUUUUUAAUGGUAUUAAAUUUUUAAAACCGUCAGUAUAAACAUACUAUAAUGAUACAUAGUAUAUAAAGAUACUGUUCUUAUUUCACAUCUAUCUUUCUUAUCUGUUUUCUGUGUACUUUUGCAAACCUACAAUCAUAUUUAUUACUAAUAUAACAUUCGCUUCUUACUCAUCUCACUUUUUCACUUAAAUAUUUUAUACAUUACAGCCGUUUUACAUAUUUAUUUCUACUAUUAAAAAUUUACAUAUGUUAUGUAAGCUAUAAUCAAUAAAUAGCGCGGCGUGUGUGGGAAAUCGCUCCUGGGUCAGAGCAAACCCUUGUUCGAGUUGUUACCUAGUCUGGUUUUGAAGGGAAGCCACAUGAACCGGACGAGAUUCAACCAGAUGACCGGCGUCUCCCGGGUUGAGUCUCUGGAGUCCUGUGGACUACAGUUGC